rnacentral:rRNA from 1 species
UACGUAGGGCGCAAGCGUUAUCCGGAAUUAUUGGGCGUAAAGGAGCUCGUAGGCGGUUUGUCGCGUUCUGCCGUGAAAGUCCGGGGCUCAACGUCCGGAUCUGCGGUGGGUACGGGCAGACUAGAGUGAUGUAGGGGGAGACUGGAAAUUCCUGGUGUAGCGGUGAAAUGCGCAGAUAUCGGGAGGAACACCAGUGGCGAAGGCGGCACUCUGGGCCGGUACUGACGCUGAGGAGCGAAAGCGGUGGGGAGCGAACAGG